rnacentral:rRNA from 1 species
GCGAGUGUCGACGUGCUAUACAUGCAAGUCGUACGCACUGGCCCAACUGAUUGAUGGUGCUUGCACCUGAUUGACGAUGGAUCACCAGUGAGUGGCGGACGGGUGAGUAACACGUAGGUAACCUGCCCCGGAGCGGGGGAUAACAUUUGGAAACAGAUGCUAAUACCGCAUAACAACAAAAGCCACAUGGCUUUUGUUUGAAAGAUGGCUUUGGCUAUCACUCUGGGAUGGACCUGCGGUGCAUUAGCUAGUUGGUAAGGUAACGGCUUACCAAGGCGAUGAUGCAUAGCCGAGUUGAGAGACUGAUCGGCCACAAUGGAACUGAGACACGGUCCAUACUCCUACGGGAGGCAGCAGUAGGGAAUCUUCCACAAUGGGCGCAAGCCUGAUGGAGCAACACCGCGUGAGUGAAGAAGGGUUUCGGCUCGUAAAGCUCUGUUGUUGGAGAAGAACGUGCGUGAGAGUAACUGUUCACGCAGUGACGGUAUCCAACCAGAAAGUCACGGCUAACUACGUGCCAGCAGCCGCGGUAAUACGUAGGUGGCAAGCGUUAUCCGGAUUUAUUGGGCGUAAAGCGAGCGCAGGCGGUUGCUUAGGUCUGAUGUGAAAGCCUUCGGCUUAACCGAAGAAGUGCAUCGGAAACCGGGCGACUUGAGUGCAGAAGAGGACAGUGGAACUCCAUGUGUAGCGGUGGAAUGCGUAGAUAUAUGGAAGAACACCAGUGGCGAAGGCGGCUGUCUGGUCUGCAACUGACGCUGAGGCUCGAAAGCAUGGGUAGCGAACAGGAUUAGAUACCCUGGUAGUCCAUGCCGUAAACGAUGAGUGCUAGGUGUUGGAGGGUUUCCGCCCUUCAGUGCCGGAGCUAACGCAUUAAGCACUCCGCCUGGGGAGUACGACCGCAAGGUUGAAACUCAAAGGAAUUGACGGGGGCCCGCACAAGCGGUGGAGCAUGUGGUUUAAUUCGAAGCUACGCGAAGAACCUUACCAGUCUUGACAUCUUGCGCUAACCUUAGAGAUACGCGUUCCCUUCGGGGACGCAAUGACAGGUGUGCAUGGUCGUCGUCAGCUCGU